rnacentral:rRNA from 1 species
CCUACGGGAGGCAGCAGUGGGGAAUAUUGCACAAUGGGCGAAAGCCUGAUGCAGCAACGCCGCGUGAGCGAUGAAGGCCUUCGGGUCGUAAAGCUCUGUCCUCAAGGAAGAUAAUGACGGUACUUGAGGAGGAAGCCCCGGCUAACUACGUGCCAGCAGCCGCGGUAAUACGUAGGGGGCUAGCGUUAUCCGGAAUUACUGGGCGUAAAGGGUGCGUAGGUGGUUUCUUAAGUCAGAGGUGAAAGGCUAGGGCUCAACCGUAGUAAGCCUUUGAAACUGGGGAACUUGAGUGCAGGAGAGGAGAGUGGAAUUCCUUGUGUAGCGGUGAAAUGCGUAGAUAUUAGGAGGAACACCAGUUGCGAAGGCGGCUCUCUGGACUGUAACUGACACUGAGGCACGAAAGCGUGGGGAGCAAACAGGAUUAGAUACCCGGGUAGUC